GAUGAAGAACGCAGCAAAAUGCGAUAAGUAAUGUGAAUUGCAGAAUUCAGUGAAUCAUCGAAUCUUUGAACGCACAUUGCGCCCGCCAGUAUUCUGGCGGGCAUGCCUGUUCGAGCGUCAUUUCAACCCUCAAGCCCUCGGGUUUGGUGUUGGGGAUCGGCGAGCCUUUCUGGCAAGCCGGCCCCGAAAUCUAGUGGCGGUCUCGCUGCAGCCUCCAUUGCGUAGUAGUAAAACCCUCGCAACUGGAACGCGGCGCGGCCAAGCCGUUAACCCCCCAACUUCUGAAUGUUGACCUCGGAUCAGGUAGGAAUACCCGCUGAACUUAAGCAUAUCAAUAAGCGGAGGA
rnacentral:misc_RNA from 1 species